UCUCGAACCCGAUGCCUCCCUCUCUCUCCUCAAACCCUUUGUGUUUCUCUCUUUAAAAUCGACGGUGGUGGAGAACCGUGGUGGCAAAACUCGCCGCCUGGGAGCAAGGAGACAUUCUCGAUCUCUGUCUCUCUCCUCUUGAUACUCUUCGCCUAUCCCUCGCCUCAAACCUGUUUGCGACGGCGACGACAAGAUCGAGAAUGAAUCGGCAACGAGCAUGAAGGUGGCGUUGGUGAUUAACCUUGUCGCAUCAUGCGUCGAAGAUGGGAGGAGAGCACAAUGGAAUGGAGCAUUGAACGACGGUGGCAGCUAAGGCACUACUUUCAUCUUCUGAUUUUAGGUCUGCUUGGUUUGAUGAACCUGGUUCAAUUGGAGGAAAAUGUAGGGGCAAAACUGCAUUGCUGAUGUCUGCAGGUGGUUAAAGCAGAUCUUAUCAGUUUGGACUUGGGAGACUGUCUUGGAAGCGUAGUAGUCAAGAUGUUGGGAAUUUGCAGUCAACAUCCUCGAGUUGUUGAGUCAAUUGUGAUCUUGGCAUGUUUCUGAUGCAUUUCCAAAGAUGAUGUUAUUAUUGAGGGAAACAACAACUGCAGAAGCCUCGUAAGGGUUAGCGUGGGUUUGUGGCGCUAGGCUUGCUGCAUAGGUUGUUACUCCGAUAAGUCAUGAGACCAAACGUUGGCGGCGAGUGGAGUGGUGGAGGCGGGUGCUUGCUAAGGCUGAUGUCAAUGAUGACACUUAUGGUUUAGUUAAUGAUUAAAUCAUGUAAAGGUUUUGGUUAUUUUUUGUUGUAGUUACAAUUAAUUUCGUUUUAGUUAUGAUAAUUUUAUAUUAGUA